rnacentral:rRNA from 1 species
GUGAACAAUUAAACGGCCGCGGUACCCUAACCGUGCAAAGGUAGCAUAAUCAUUUGUCUACUAAUUAUAGACCUGUAUGAAAGGCAAAAUGAGGGCCUAACUGUCUCUUAUAGCGAAUCAAUUAAACUGAUCUCCUAGUAAAAAAGCUAGAAUUUCCCCAUAAGACCAGAAGACCCUGUGAAGCUUAAACUAAACUAUUAAAUCACAUAAUAACUACUUUCGGUUGGGGCGACCUUGGAAAAAAAAAGAACUUCCAACAACCAUGACUAUUCAUCAACCACCCUAGGCCUACAAGCCAGUUAACGACCCAGCACAGCUGAUCAAUGAACCAAGUUACUCCAGGGAUAACAGCGCAAUCCUCUUCAAGAGCCCAUAUCAAAAAGAGGGUUUACGACCUCGAUGUUGGAU